AUUGAACGCUGGCGGCAGGCCUAACACAUGCAAGUCGAGCGGCAGCGGGAAAGUAGCUUGCUACUUUUGCCGGCGAGCGGCGGACGGGUGAGUAAUGCCUGGGAAAUUGCCCAGUCGAUGGGGAUAACAGUUGGAAACGACUGCUAAUACCGCAUACGCCCUACGGGGGAAAGCAGGGGACCUUCGGGCCUUGCGCGAUUGGAUAUGCCUAGGCGGGAUUAGCUAGUUGGUGAGGUAAUGGCUAACCAAGGCGACGAUCCCUAGCUGGUCUGAGAGGAUGACCAGCCACACUGGAACUGAGACACGGUCCAGACUCCUACGGGAGGCAGCAGUGGGGAAUAUUGCACAAUGGGGGAAACACUGAUGCAGCCAUGCCGCGUGUGUGAGGAAGGCCUUCGGGUUGUAAAGCUCUUUCAGCGAGGAGGAAAGGUUGAUGCCUAAUACGUAUCAACCGUGACGUUACUCGCAGAAGAAGCACCGGCUAACUCCGUGCCAGCCGCCGCCGUAAAAC
rnacentral:rRNA from 1 species